UACGUAUGGGGCGAGCGUUGUUCGGAGUUAUUGGGCGUAAAGGGCGUGUAGGCGGCUCAUCAAGUCUGGUGUGAAAUCGUCAGGCUUAACCUGACAUAUGCGCUGGAAACUGGUGGGCUUGAGUUCUUGAGGGGAAGCUGGAAUUCCAGGUGUAGGGGUGAAAUCUGUAGAUAUCUGGAAGAACACCGGUGGCGAAGGCGAGCUUCUAUCAGAGGACUGACGCUGAGGCGCGAAAGCGUGGGGAGCAAACAGG
rnacentral:rRNA from 1 species